rnacentral:rRNA from 1 species
AUUGAACGCUGGCGGCAGGCUUAACACAUGCAAGUCGAGCGGGGUGAUGGUGCUUGCACUAUCACUUAGCGGCGGACGGGUGAGUAAUGCUUAGGAAUCUGCCUAUUAGUGGGGGACAACAUCUCGACAGGGAUGCUAAUACCGCAUACGUCCUACGGGAGAAAGCAGGGGAUCACUUGUGACCUUGCGCUAAUAGAUGAGCCUAAGUCGGAUUAGCUAGUUGGUGGGGUAAAGGCCUACCAAGGCGACGAUCUGUAGCGGGUCUGAGAGGAUGAUCCGCCACACUGGGACUGAGACACGGCCCAGACUCCUACGGGAGGCAGCAGUGGGGAAUAUUGGACAAUGGGGGGAACCCUGAUCCAGCCAUGCCGCGUGUGUGAAGAAGGCCUUAUGGUUGUAAAGCACUUUAAGCGAGGAGGAGGCUCUUUUGGUUAAUACCCAAGAUGAGUGGACGUUACUCGCAGAAUAAGCACCGGCUAACUCUGUGCCAGCAGCCGCCGUAAUAC